rnacentral:rRNA from 1 species
GAUGAACGCUGGCGGCGUGCCUAACACAUGCAAGUCGAACGAAGAACCCUUGACGGAGUUUUCGGACAAAGGAGAGGAAUUCUUAGUGGCGGACGGGUGAGUAACGCGUGAGUAACCUGCCUUGGAGUGGGGAAUAACACAGUGAAAAUUGUGCUAAUACCGCAUAAAGCAGUUGAGUCGCAUGACUCUGACUGCCAAAGAUUUAUCGCUCUGAGAUGGACUCGCGUCUGAUUAGUUAGUUGGCGGGGUAACGGCCCACCAAGACGACGAUCAGUAGCCGGACUGAGAGGUUGACCGGCCACAUUGGGACUGAGAUACGGCCCAGACUCCUACGGGAGGCAGCAGUGGGGAAUAUUGGGCAAUGGGCGCAAGCCUGACCCAGCAACGCCGCGUGAAGGAAGAAGGCUUUCGGGUUGUAAACUUCUUUUAUUCGGGACGAAACAAAUGACGGUACCGAAUGAAUAAGCCACGGCUAACUACGUG